rnacentral:rRNA from 1 species
UACGUAGGUGGCAAGCGUUGUCCGGAUUUACUGGGCGUAAAGGAUGCGUAGGCGGAUGUUUAAGUGAGAUGUGAAAUACCCGAGCUCAACUUGGGUGCUGCAUUUCAAACUGGAUAUCUAGAGUGCAGGAGAGGAAAGCGGAAUUCCUAGUGUAGCGGUGAAAUGCGUAGAGAUUAGGAAGAACACCAGUGGCGAAGGCGGCUUUCUGGACUGUAACUGACGCUGAGGCACGAAAGCGUGGGUAGCAAACAGG